CAUGUCAAGGGCAGUCCUGAGAACUCCCCCGUUAAGAGGGAUAUACUGAGAAAGUUUUUCAAUGUAUUGGCCAGCUCCGCCAGGAAACAUGGUGCCACCACCAGGGAAAGUGAAGUAAUCACCUUCCCUUUUCAUCCAUCCUUGGUGACCUUUCCGGUCAGCAAUUUUGUUGUAUGGCAUGUUUGCAUGCCAUAUCUGCAAAGCUUAAAACGCUCACUCAUAUAAAGGGUGUAUUCAAUUAUAGAAUUUGAACUAAUUUGUAUAAAAAUGACAAAUCCGUUUUUAUUAAAACCUAAACUUUUAAAAACUCCUCUAAAAUCUCUAAACUUCAUACUAAAACCAUCGUAGUAAAUUCUCUAAUUCACUUUAAAUCAUCUAAAAACUCAU